UGGGCAGCCGCCUAAAGUGUGAUCGGUAAUUGGGCCUGAAGUCGUAACAAGGUAGCUGUAGGAGAACCUGCGGCUGGAUCACCUCCUUUCUAAGGAGCUUCUUUUCGCCACGGAUCAAAACGUGGUUGCGAAAUUAGUUCCCAGGUCGAAAGGAAUCGCCCCGACGCGCAAGCGCGGAGGGAAACGUAUUGCCUCUUGUCUUUCCUCUUCAGUACUCAAGGCUCGAGCGCCGCUCGUUCGUUGACAAUUGAAUACGGGUAAGUAAAUGAGAUGCACGACGUGCGCUUCUGAAAAAGAGCGUGCACAUGCAGAUCGCAUGAGAUC
rnacentral:misc_RNA from 1 species